UCGGGAAUUUUGGGCAAUGGGCGAAAGCCUGACCCAGCAACGCCGCGUGAAGGAUGAAGUAUUUCGGUAUGUAAACUUCGAAAGAAUAGGAAGAAUAAAUGACGGUACUAUUUAUAAGCACCGGCUAACUUCGUGCCAGCAGCCGCGGUAAUACGAAGGGUGCUAGCGUUGUUCGGAAUCACUGGGCGUAAAGCGCGCGUAGGCGGCGAUAUAAGUCAGAGGUGAAAGCCUGGAGCUCAACUCCAGAACUGCCUUUGAAACUAUAUUGCUAGAGUGUCGGAGGGGAUAGCGGAAUUGCUAAUGUAGAGGUGAAAUUCGUAGAUAUUAGCAGGAACACCGGUGGCGAAGGCGGCUAUCUGGACGACAACUGACGCUGAGGCGCGAAAGCGUGGGGAUCAAACAGGAUUAGAUACCCCCGUAGUCCCUGAGCGGGCUGGCAAGGCGCAU
rnacentral:rRNA from 1 species